CCUACGGGAGGCAGCAGUGGGGAAUAUUGGACAAUGGGGGAAACCCUGAUCCAGCAAUGCCGCGUGAGUGAUGAAGGCCUUAGGGUUGUAAAGCUCUUUUACCUGCGAUGAUAAUGACAGUAGCAGGGGAAUAAGCUCCGGCUAACUUCGUGCCAGCAGCCGCGGUAAUACGAAGGGAGCUAGCGUUGUUCGGAAUUACUGGGCGUAAAGGGCACGUAGGCGGCGCUGUAAGUGAGAUGUGAAAGACCUGGGCUUAACCUGGGAAGUGCAUUUCAGACUGCAGUGCUAGAGUGCGAGAGAGGAAAGUGGAAUGACGCAUGUAGAGGUGAAAUUCGUAGAUAUGCGUUGGAACACCAAUGGCGAAGGCAACUUUCUGGCUCGCAACUGACGCUAGGGCGCGAAAGCGUGGGGAGCAAACAGGAUUAGAUACCCUGGUAGUCCACGCCGUAAACGAUGAUUGCUAGACGUCGGGAACGACAGUUUUCGGUGUCGCAGCUAACGCAUUAAGCAUCCCGCCUGGGGAGUACGGUCGCAAGAUUAAAACUCAAAUGAAUUGACGG
rnacentral:rRNA from 1 species